GACGAACGCUGGCGGCGUGCCUAAUACAUGCAAGUCGAACGCAUUUUCUUUCACCGUAGCUUGCUACACCGAAAGAAAAUGAGUGGCGAACGGGUGAGUAACACGUGGGUAACCUGCCCAUCAGCGGGGGAUAACACUUGGAAACAGGUGCUAAUACCGCAUAAUUCCAUUUACUGCAUGGUAGAUGGAUGAAAGGCGCUUUUGCGUCACUUAUGGAUGGACCCGCGGUGCAUUAGCUAGUUGGUGGGGUAACGGCCUACCAAGGCUGCGAUGCAUAGCCGCACUGAGAGGGUGAUCGGCCACACUGGGACUGAGACACGGCCCAGACGCCUACGGGAGGCAGCAGUAGGGAAUCUUCGGCAAUGGACGCAAGUCUGACCGAGAAACGCCGCGUGAGUGAAGAAGGUUUUCGGAUCGUAAAACUCUGUUGUUAGAAAAGAGCAAGGAUGAGAGUGGAAAGUUCAUCCCUUGACGGUAUCUAACCAGAAAGCCACGGCUAACUACGUG
rnacentral:rRNA from 1 species